rnacentral:rRNA from 1 species
UACGAGUGCUCCAAGCGUUAUCCGGAAUCAUUGGGCGUAAAGGGUGUGUAGGUGGUAAUGUUAGUCUUCUGUUAAAUUCUUCGGCUCAACCGGGGGCAUGCAGGGGAAACGGCAUUUACUAGAGGAUGCGAGAGGCACAUGGAACUCAUGGAGUAGGGGUGAAAUCCGUUGAUAUCAUGGGGAACACCGAAAGCGAAGGCAAUGUGCUGGCGCACUCCUGACACUGAGACACGAAAGCGUAGGUAGCGAAUGGG